rnacentral:rRNA from 1 species
AGUGAACGCUGGCGGCAGGCCUAACACAUGCGAGUCGAACGACAGCACAGUAAGCUUUUGCCCUUACGGGUAGCGAGUGGCGGACGGGUGACACAUGCAUCAGAUUCUUCUUUUUCGGGGGGAACAACGGGGAACAACUUACGCUACUAGCGAAUAUAAUCAACGGCUUAGUUCAAUAGAUAUAGACAGCUUUCGUGACACUUAUAGCUGGUUCCGGGUCGGAUUAGCUAGUUGGUAAGGUAACGGCAUACCAAGGCGACGAUGCGUAGCCGACCUGAGAGGGUGAUCGGCCACACUGGAACUGAGACACGGUCCAGACUCCUACGGGAGGCAGCAGUAGGGAAUCUUCGGCAAUGGGCGAAAGCCUGAUGGAGCAAUGCCGCGUGAGUGAAGAAGGUCUUCGGGUUGUAAAGCCCUGUUGUUGGGGAAGAAAAGCUGUGGGAGAAUCUCCGGCUGUCCUGACGGUACCUAAAGAAAAAGCACCGGCUAACUUCGUG